rnacentral:rRNA from 1 species
CGGACGGGUGAGUAAUGUCUGGGAAACUGCCCGAUGGAGGGGGAUAACUACUGGAAACGGUAGCUAAUACCGCAUAACGUCGCAAGACCAAAGAGGGGGACCUUCGGGCCUCUUGCCAUCGGAUAUGCCCAGAUGGGAUUAGCUAGUAGGUGGGGUAAUGGCUCACCUAGGCGACGAUCCCUAGCUGGUCUGAGAGGAUGACCAGCCACACUGGAACUGAGACACGGUCCAG